rnacentral:rRNA from 1 species
AACGAACGCUGGCGGCAUGCCUAACACAUGCAAGUCGAACGAGACCUUCGGGUCUAGUGGCGCACGGGUGCGUAACGCGUGGGAACCUGCCCUUAGGUUCGGAAUAACUCCCCGAAAGGGGUGCUAAUACCGGAUAAUGUCUUCGGACCAAAGAUUUAUCGCCUUUGGAUGGGCCCGCGUUGGAUUAGCUAGUUGGUAGGGUAAAAGCCUACCAAGGCGACGAUCCAUAGCUGGUCUGAGAGGAUGAUCAGCCACACUGGGACUGAGACACGGCCCAGACUCCUACGGGGGGGAGGAGUGGGGAAUAUUGGGCAAUGGGCGAAAGCCUGGUCCAGCAAUGCCGGGUGAGUGAUGAAGGCCUUAGGGUUGUAAAGCUCUUUUACCCGGGAUGAUAAUGACAGUACCGGGAGAAUAAGCUCCGGCUAACUCCGUG